CCUACGGGAGACAGCAGUGAGGAAUAUUGGUCAAUGGCCGAGAGGCUGAACCAGCCAAGUCGCGUGAGGGAAGACGGCCCUACGGGUUGUAAACCUCUUUUGUCGGGGAGCAAAGCGAGUCACGUGUGACUCAUUGAGAGUACCCGAAGAAAAAGCAUCGGCUAACUCCGUGCCAGCAGCCGCGGUAAUACGGAGGAUGCGAGCGUUAUCCGGAUUUAUUGGGUUUAAAGGGUGCGCAGGCGGAGGUGCAAGUCAGCGGUCAAAUUGCGGGGCUCAACCCCGUACUGCCGUUGAAACUGCAGCCCUUGAGUGCGCGAGAAGUAUGCGGAAUGCGUGGUGUAGCGGUGAAAUGCAUAGAUAUCACGCAGAACUCCGAUUGCGAAGGCAGCAUACCGGCGCGCAACUGACGCUCAUGCACGAAAGCGUGGGUAUCGAACAGGAUUAGAUACCCGAGUAGUC
rnacentral:rRNA from 1 species